rnacentral:rRNA from 1 species
CCUACGGGAGGCAGCAGUGGGGAAUAUUGCACAAUGGGCGAAAGCCUGAUGCAGCAACGCCGCGUGAAGGAAGACGGUUUUCGGAUUGGAAACUUCUAUCAAUAGGGAAGAAAAAAAUGACGGUACCUAAAUAAGAAGCCCCGGCUAACUACGUGCAAGCAGCCGCGGUAAUACGUAGGGGGCAAGCGUUAUCCGGAAUUACUGGGUGUAAAGGGAGAGUAGGCGGCAAGGUAAGCGAUAUGUGAAAGCCUUAAGCUUAACUAAAGGAUUGCAUAACGAACUAUCUAGCUAGAGUACAGGAGAGGAAAGCGGAAUUCCUAGUGUAGCGGUGAAAUGCGUAUAGAUUAGGAAGAACACCAGUGGCGAAGGCGGCUUUCUGGACUGAAACUGACGCUGAGGCUCGAAAGCGUGGGGAGCGAACAGGAUUAGAUACCCCGGUAGUC